rnacentral:rRNA from 1 species
UACGAAGGGGGCUAGCGUUGUUCGGAAUCACUGGGCGUAAAGCGUACGUAGGCGGAUUGUUAAGUCAGGGGUGAAAGCCCGAGGCUCAACCUCGGAAUUGCCUUUGAUACUGGCUGUCUUGAGUCCGGGAGAGGUGAGUGGAAUUCCUAGUGUAGAGGUGAAAUUCGUAGAUAUUAGGAAGAACACCAGUGGCGAAGGCGGCUCACUGGUCCGGUACUGACGCUGAGGUGCGAAAGCGUGGGGAGCAAACAGG